CAGCAGCCACGGUAAAACGGAGGAUCCAAGCGUUAUCCGGAAUCAUUGGGUUUAAAGGGUCCGUAGGCGGUCUUGUAAGUCAGUGGUGAAAGCCCAUCGCUCAACGGUGGAACGGCCAUUGAUACUGCAGGACUUGAAUUAUUGGGAAGUAACUAGAAUAUGUAGUGUAGCGGUGAAAUGCUUAGAGAUUACAUGGAAUACCAAUUGCGAAGGCAGGUUACUACCAAUUGAUUGACGCUGAUGGACGAAAGCGUGGGUAGCGAACAGGAUUAGAUACCCCAGUAGUCCCUGUCUCUUAUAC
rnacentral:rRNA from 1 species